AACAGCGCCACUGGUGCAGCG
rnacentral:misc_RNA from 1 species